AGGGAAACCGAGUCUUAACUGGGCGUUAAGUUGCAGGGUAUAGACCCGAAACCCGGUGAUCUAGCCAUGGGCAGGUUGAAGGUUGGGUAACACUAACUGGAGGACCGAACCGACUAAUGUUGAAAAAUUAGCGGAUGACUUGUGGCUGGGGGUGAAAGGCCAAUCAAACCGGGAGAUAGCUGGUUCUCCCCGAAAGCUAUUUAGGUAGCGCCUCGUGAACUCAUCUUCGGGGGUAGAGCACUGUUUCGGCUAGGGGGUCAUCCCGACUUACCAACCCGAUGCAAACUGCGAAUACCGAAGAAUGUUAUCACGGGAGACACACGGCGGGUGCUAACGUCCGUCGUGAAGAGGGAAACAACCCAGACCGCCAGCUAAGGUCCCAAAGUCACAGUUAAGUGGGAAACGAUGUGGGAAGGCUCAGACAGCCAGGAUGUUGGCUUAGAAGCAGCCAUCAUUUAAAGAAAGCGUAAUAGCUCACUGGUCGAGUCGGCCUGCGCGGAAGAUGUAACGGGGCUAAACUGUGCACCGAAGCUGCGGCAGCGACGCUUAUGCGUUGUUGGGUAGGGGAGCGUUCUGUAAGCCUGCGAAGGUGUCCUGUGAGGGAUGCUGGAGGUAUCAGAAGUGCGAAUGCUGACAUAAGUAACGAUAAUGCGGGUGAAAAGCCCGCUCGCCGGAAGACCAAGGGUUCCU
rnacentral:rRNA from 1 species